rnacentral:rRNA from 1 species
UACGAAGGGGGCGAGCGUUGUUCGGAAUUACUGGGCGUAAAGGCGCGUAGGCGGCCGAUCAAGUCAGAUGUGAAAGUCCUGGGCUUAACCUGGGGACUGCAUUUGAUACUGAUUGGCUUGAAUGCAGGAGAGGAUAGCGGAAUUCCCAGUGUAGAGGUGAAAUUCGUAGAUAUUGGGAAGAACACCGGUGGCGAAGGCGGCUAUCUGGACUGUG